CUUGUAUUUUCAAGAGUGACGGGCGAUUUGUGCAUGUUUAAUUGCUUUGUCAAUUUAUUUUUUUGUACAAAUUUUAUAUUUAAGUCCUUCUUUGCUUAGCGUCCUAGUUAGGCCUGAUCUUUCUAGGUUGCCUCACAUUUCUUCUUUAAAUUUACUUUUGUCUUGAUUUGUUUUUUUAUCUUCUCCUUAUAUCUUAUAAUUUUACUUUUUUUAGAAUUUUAAAACAAUGAUAUAAAAAGUAAAAUUUAAAGCUAAAUUAAUCGUGGGCUAUCAAUUAUAGAACAUGAGCCCCUAAUAAGAUUACCCACCGCCAUAUUAUUUAGAUUUCUUUUAUUUAAAUACUUCCUUCGCUUAAUUUAUAA
rnacentral:rRNA from 1 species